rnacentral:lncRNA from 1 species
AUGCCAAGCACAAAGCGGUUUCAACAUGUGAUUGAGACCCCCAAGCCUGGCGAGUGGGAGCUGUCUGGGUACGAGGCAGCCAUGCGGAUCACAGAGAAGUCAAAUCCACUGACCCGGGACUUGGACAAAGCAGAUGCUGGGAAAAUCGUUCAGUUGCUGGGGCAGUGUGAUGCUGAGAUCUUCCAGGAGGAGGGGCAAGCCAUGCCUGCCUACCAGCGACUGUACAGCGAAUCAGUUCUGACCACCAUGCUGCAAGUGGCCGGGAAAGUGCAGGAAGUGUUGAAGGUCUCCUUUAACCAGCUGAUGACAGGUCUAGGACAAAAACCUCUUUACACCUACCUCAUUGCAGGAGGUGACAGGUCUGUGGUGGCCUCCAGGGAGGGGAAGGAAGACAGCGCCCUGCAUGGGAUUGAGGAGCUGAAGAAGGUGGCUGCUGGGAAGAAGAGGGUCAUUGUCAUUGGCAUCUCGGCGGGCCUCUCUGUAAGCGUGAAGAUAGGCAGAGUGGAUCAAUUUUAUAGGGAAGAAGGGGUAGGAAAAGACUGGCAGAACACUUGUGAAAGGAAUUUUCAUUUUAGCUCAUUUGGAUCCAGUUGUAUGAAUGUGAGAAUAGGGAGAAGGGAUCCGUUCUCAUAAUAAUUGUGCAGCAAUCUAUCAACAACCAAGAUAGACAGACCAGUCCAGGGGUCAGCAAACUAUGCUGGCUGCCUGCUUUUGUAAAUAAAGUUUUACCAACAUGGAGUUGUUUGUAUUUACACGUAUAGUCUAUGGCCUCUUUUGUGCCACAACUCUAGGAUUGAUAGUUGGACAGAGCUCAGAGAACCCACAAACCCUAACAUUCUCUGGCCCUUAACAGAAAAGCCUGUCCUCCAGACUAGCCCUUUGCUACCUAACAACAAUCCCUGCACCAGCAGCACCAGCAUCGCAUGGGACUUGUUAGAAAAUGCAGGAUCUCAGACCCCAACCCAGAUCCACUGAAUCCGAAUCUGAAUUUUAACAAGAUUCCCAGGUGUUUGUUUUGAGCAGCCCUAGGCUAGGUGACCCCACGUUUCCUGUCAACCCUGUAAGUUUCUGAUUCUAAGAAUCCAGUGAGCAGAAACCCAAAUCCCACCUGGUAGGAGCUGGAUAUACACAAGGAGAGCAGCGUGCUGAACAAUUUAGUUCAGCAAUUUCCAAACUUUAUCCUGUAGGAGAUUACCUUGAUGGUGUUUGAUACAAGUGUAGGUCUCUCGGGGUACUUGUUAAAAAUGUGCUCCUUGGGGCCGGGGAUUUAGCUCAGUGGUUUCGCUGCCUGCUGCCCAAGCUCAAGGACCUGAGUUUGAUCCCUGGUACCAAAAAAAAAAAAAAAAAUGUGCUCCUGCUUCCAGUUCAGAUCCAGUGGGUCUUUACUGGGCCUGGGAAUUUCUGACAAGUAUUCUGGGGGAUUCUGAGGCCCAGGGGCCUUAGGCAGCACUCAGAGUAACUCCCUUGUCCGGUCCUCCCCUCUCACUGCCACCAGGCGCCCUUUGUGGCAGGCCAGAUGGACUACUGCAUGGACAACA